CCUACGGGGUGCAGCAGUGGGGAAUAUUGCGCAAUGGGCGAAAGCCUGACGCAGCGACGCCGCGUGAGGGAUGAAGGUCUUCGGAUCGUAAACCUCUGUCAGCAGGGAAGAACGGUCACUGUGCUAAUCAGCAGUGAAUUGACGGUACCUGCAAAGGAAGCACCGGCUAACUCCGUGCCAGCAGCCGCGGUAAUACGGAGGGUGCGAGCGUUAAUCGGAAUUACUGGGCGUAAAGCGCUCGUAGGCGGUAUGUCAAGUCAAGGGUGAAAUCCCCGCGCUCAACGUGGGAACUGCCUUUGAAACUGGCAGACUGGAGUGUGUGAGAGGAUAGUGGAAUUCCAGGUGUAGGAGUGAAAUCCGUAGAUAUCUGGAGGAACAUCAGUGGCGAAGGCGACUAUCUGGCACAUAACUGACGCUGAGGAGCGAAAGCGUGGGUAGCAAACAGGAUUAGAUACCCGGGUAGUC
rnacentral:rRNA from 1 species